rnacentral:rRNA from 1 species
GUGGCGACCGGUGCACGGGUGCGUAACGCGUAUGCAACCUACCCUGUACUGGGGGAUAGCCCGGAAAAUUCAGAUUAAUACCCCAUACUAUUUAGUUAUCCCAUGAUAGUUAAAUUAAAGGUUACGGUACAGGAUGGGCAUGCAUCCUAUUACCUAUAUGGUUUGGUAACGGCUUACCAUGGCAACUAUAGGUAGGGGGCCUGAGAGGGUGGUCCCCCACACUGGUACUGAGACACGGACCAGACUCCUACGGGAGGCACCAUUGAGGAAUAUUGGUCAAUGGGCGCAAGCCUGAACCACCCAUGCCGCGUGCAGGAAGAAUGCCCUAUGGGUUGUAAACUGCUUUUAUUUGGGAAUAAACCUCUUUACGUGUAGAGAGCUGAACGUACCAAAUGAAUAAGCACCGGCUAACUCCGUGCCAGCUCCCGCGGUAAUACAGAGGGUGCAAGCGUUAUCCGGAAUCAUUGGGUUUAAAGGGUCCGCAGGCGGGCAUAUAAGUCAGUGGUGAAAGCCUAUUGCUUAACAAUAGAACUGCCAUUGAUACUGUAUGUCUUGAAUUCGGUCGAAGUGGGCGGAAUUUCUAGUGUAGCGGUGAAAUGCGUAUAUAUUAGAAAGAACACCGGUGGCGAAAGCGCUCUACUGGAUCAUUACUGACACUCAGAGGCUAAAGCUAGGGUAGCAAAUGGGAUUAGAUACCCCUGUAGUCCGAGCCGUAACGAUGGAUACUAGAUGUGAGCAUUAUGUACAGUAUCGUACCUAACGCGUCAAGUAUCCAUCUGGGAGUACGCAUCGCACGGGUGAACUCAUACGAAUUGACGG